UUUCCGUAGGUGAACCUGCGGAAGGAUCAUUAAAUAGUACCACAGAUUACAUAUGCAAAUAUGACAAUCUACUACUAUAUACCAUUCCGAGUACUCUUUUUCCAUGUUGCUUCCUCGAGGCAGUCACUUCAAGUGGCCGUUCGCUCCGGAUCUCCCUUCGUGGAGAGGCGGCUGUGGGCUAGAUUUCCUUGCGAAAGGUCAAUUACAAAUCCAAUUAUGUUUUUAUUGUGUGUCUGAAUAGAUUUUUUUUUCUUUCUUUUUUUAAUUAAUAAAUACAAAAAACAUAAAAUAAAAUACAAAACUUUCAACAACGGAUCUCUUGGUUCUC
rnacentral:misc_RNA from 1 species